rnacentral:rRNA from 1 species
UACGGGGGGAGCAAGCGUUGUCCGGAUUUACUGGGCGUAAAGGGCGCGUAGGCGGCCUCUGCAAGUCGACUGUGAAAUCUCCGGGCUUAACCCGGAACGGUCAGCCGAUACUGCAGGGCUAGAGUGCAGAAGGGGCAACUGGAAUUCUCGGUGUAGCGGUGAAAUGCGUAGAUAUCGAGAGGAACACCUGCGGCGAAGGCGGGUUGCUGGGCUGACACUGACGCUGAGACACGAAAGCGUGGGUAGCAAACAGG